CAAAAAAAAAAAUCGUGUCUCUUCUCGCCGCUCGCAAAUCCUCUUCGCCGGUUCCAACUCGGCCGACUCGGUAGUCCCCGAACCUCAUCUCCUCGUUCUCCUCCACCGUCUUCUCCGGCCAUGCCGACUCCGGUCGCAGCUUCUAGAAUCUCUACGUGGGUCUUUUCAACAAAAAUUUACACCAACAAACUCAUCUUCGUUACUAAAUUAGGGUUAGGGUUGGUCCGCGUUUUGUUGAAAGAGAAUGCCCAGAAUUGCCUUGCCAGUUGCAGAACAGAAGCCAUUGACAAGGAUGCUAUUUACAGGCACUUUUCUUAGCAUGUCAAAAUUUAGUGAAGGAACUAUAUUCUGGCUUUGGAAUAAAAGAAUUACAUUUGCACAAGAGUUUCUGUCUACAAACUCCGACACCUAGCUAGAAGGUAAUGACACUAAAUUUUUGGCAACAGUUCAGUUUUUAGCCGAACUAAACCUAGCUGGAGAACUUCUAAAAGCUAAACAUCUGUUUCCAAAAAUUUAGUGUUCAAGGGCAGUGUUGUUGUGUGCAAGAUAAUCUGGCAGCCUCUAUGGUAUUGGUAAUAGUGAUAGAUCAAGUCCUUGUCCGAUUCCUCUCCCUAAUUCCGUAUACUAUCGUAGAAGAGAGUGUGGGUUUUGAUCUUCAACCCUAAUGAUUAUCCAUGGCAGCAUUUAGCUUUAGUAAUAUGCUUGGGUAAAGUGUAAGUUGAAUCUUAUUUCAAACUGAGCUUUGAACAUGUUCUUCAAGAUGGGGAAGGAAAAUUACUAGAUAACAUAUUCCUUCCCAAUACAGGCAGGCUUCUGUGUUUUUUCAGGUUUUAAAUGACUUUCAGUUGUUAGUGUAGGACUAAAUCUGUUGCAAGCAUCACAUGCAGUAUAACGUAGCGUUAGUGUACUUAAGGUUAUUUGACCAAGGCUUGGUGCUUGUAUUGACUCAGCUGUUUAUGCUUGCUAACCCUGAUCACUUAGGCGCACAGACACAAAAACCAUUUAUCCUUUGUAUAAUGAUUGAGGUUUUUAAAAAUUCUAUAGCUGUUCUUUGAGUGCACCCUUUCCUACCAUGUUUGUAUAACUUAUAUGUCAUCCUCGGAUAACAGAGUAUUUGAAAUCUUAGGGACACAUUAUCAGUAGCAUAUAGUCAUAUAUUAUGCUUCAGUAAAUUUUGCGUUGAUUGCUAUUCCAAACUGAGCUUUUAACAUGAGUGUCAAGUUACAGAAGGGAAAUUUUAUAGAGCAAAAUUUUCCUUUCGACUUAGAAACCAGAAUAUCUGAUAUUGACCUCAUAUUUCUGUAUAAAACUUGUCAAUGGGAAAGGAAUUUUCGGUUUCUAUCUAAUGUUGUAGUGAAUCCAAUAUGGAGCAUAAUGGAUGGCGGAAGGUACACAGCGCAUGAUGCUCAGAGGUAGCAUCCCUAGGAUUACAUGGUAUAUUCCACCUCAGCUGGCUUUGGAAUUUCUGAGGGACCAUUUCAAAUUUUCAAUGAAGGAUUAAGCAAUGAUAACAUGCAAGAAGUUGCUACCAUCCAUGUCUGUAGAAGUCUUUACAAAGGAGAGCAAGAGGAACUUACUGGAUUUUUUCCCAUCAUGUCCAGUUUGUUGGACAGAUUGGGGCAUUUUUCAUGUAUCAAGUAAUAAUUUGGUCGGUAUUUUGUAAUAUUUUUCAUGUUAACUGUGUAUAUAAACAUAAAAGAAUAAAGGGAGGUUUAUGUUUUCU